UUAAAUCUUAUGAGUGGAAAUAGUAAAUAAAAUAUGAAGCCAUAGAGAGCUGGGGAUGGUGGAAACCCGGUGCAGAUUGUUUAUUGAAUGGUUCCAUGAGGAGCAGUGUGAAAUCAUAUUUGAGAGUACCAUUAGUCGUUUGUCCUACGUUACAAGGACAGGAUAUCGAAAUAACAAAAUCUUAUUUCCGUAUCUGAAAGAGAGAGAUAGAUAAGCUCUAUCUAAAAUAGGUGGCAACACGGAAUAUAAGCAUUUCGUCCUGUAU
rnacentral:ncRNA from 1 species